rnacentral:tRNA from 1 species
GGGCCUAUAGCUCAGUUGGUUAGUAGCACCUGACUCAUAAUCAGGGGGUCACAGGUUCAAGCCCUGUUGGGCCCACCC